AAGCAGUUGAAGCCCAGGAAGACAUGCACUCUUCUCUGAAAGGUUCAAGGCCUUCUCCUUCCCAUGGUUCAGACUCCAAAGUCAUGUGUAGGGGAUGGCUGCUCGCUCCAAACGCUUGUACCCGAAAUUGUUGAUUUCUAAAGUUGUUAUCUUGAUUGAAUGAGGAAGACCAUUUGAGAUUCUCUGUUCUUUCCAGCCUUGAUGUCUGCCCCUCUUCUGUAACUUCUGACUGUUUAUAUUUUAUUCCUUCUUGAAGUUGUGAGCUCCCACUUGCACAAUGGUAAAAUUCCUCAACUGAGGCACUGUUCUCUAUCUGGUCAAGGGUUGAACCAUGAAUGCUGAGGAAUUUGCAGCUCAUAGUAGGAUCUUCUGUUUCUGAGUAGGAGCCUGAGUAGGUUCUAAUUCCUCCAUUUGCUUGAAUAACUGAGGAAUCAAAAGAACCUUGCGAUGAUAGCACUUCUUCCUCCAAGCUUUGACUAUAUGUUCCCAUAAAGCUUGUUCUCUCUAUACCUGAAUACUCACUGUUCCUCUGGUAAUCUGUUGACCUGUUGGGAGUCAUGGAGCUUUGGCUGUCAAGUUGAUGCCUGAAUGGCUUUUCAUGCCAUUUGAUGGUUUCUUCUGAAUUCAGUUCACACACUUCUGGUUCUUCAAUUAGUAUUGUUGUUCUCUCCGCAUUGCAGUCUCCUUUGCAUGAUGACUUCAAAGGAAACUUUGCUGCUAGAGACAUGAAGGCAGAGCUGCAUGGUGGUCGGAAACAUUUUGGGUUAGGAAGACUCCUAUUACAGAAUCCACCACAGAUCCCUUCCAUUUUGAGAAGCGCCUAUCUCCUGCAAGGUUUUAUGACACUGGUCAGCAUACAUGCUACAAUCUACAAGACCCAAGUGAAGUGUUUAUGCUGAAUAUUAAGGCAAACCAGUGUUUCUUAUACCCCAAUGCACAAAAAACACACUCCUAAUGGUUUUUAUCAUGUAUCAAAAGGUCCAGGACGACAUUAAUCUGGGGAGCAGAAGCAGAACUCUUUGUACUACAGAAUAUUGGGACCAAACAUGUAAAAGGCUGUACCUUGUACAAGAUGCAUUCUUGCUAUAAAUGAAUCAACUCUGCCAUGAAAAACUCUCCUUUCUUCUUCCCACCAUUUUUCCUUAUCUGUUCCUUCAGUGUCUUCUCCCUCCUUUCCCAUCAACAAAUUCCAUACCCUAUUUGUCUCUGGAUCAAGGUCCACUCUAGGUCGUACUUUUUUCUUGAUAGACUCAAACCCCUCAAAAGGGACAACUGUUCCAGCUCCAUUGUAUAGAACAAGUGCAUUCUGCAGUUCUGCCUUGGGUUUGUUGUUCUUUUCUUCAAGAGUGAGACCCUUGAAUCUAUUAAUUAUCUCCUCGACUGGAUUGAGAGAUACAUGUUUUGCUGAUGGCCCUGCAUAUUUUACCAAGAACAGUUGAUGAAGUGGUGGUCAGUAGAACAUUUUGGGAAAAAUUUCUAGACAAGAGUUUCAAGGUACUACAGUUGAUGAAAGAUAAAAGUUUGUUAGUACCUCUUGCUUUGGUGGACUGCUGGUUCUCAGACACUUGUUUCUUUUCUUGCACCAUCUUUCCAACUGUGAAUGGAACAUUUCUGGGCAGACCAGGUUCUCUUUUCUUGUUUUCUGAAACAUUGGUAUGGAAUGUUUGGCCAACCAAUCCAGUUCGAGGUGUAGGGACCUUCUCAGGGGUAGUUGGUAGAAGAAGAUUGCGGUUCUCAAUUGUGGCUAAGUUAUGGACUAGAGCUAACCCAUUUAUGUUUCCUACUUUUUCGAUGCCUGAAUGCAGUUGGGACAAAAUAUUUUGCUUUGAAGAAGUCAGAUCACCAGCUGUAGAGUUUACAUACCUGUUCCCUGUGAGUUGGCUAAACACGCUACCUUUUCUCCUGUCUAUGCUAUCACUUCGAAAAUGGGGAUCAGAUGUUCCACAAUCUCUCAGUGAUGUAAAUUUUCCUGCAUUAACAUCAUUUGUGCCUUCUGUUUGAAGUAGUCCUGCAGCAUGCGACACUGAACACUUCAUUCCGUACUUAUAUGCAUGGAAUUCAUCCUCAAUUAUCCUUCUUUUCGAAGCCUGGGGAAAGGCUGCCUCAUUACUGCAGCCAUUUCUAUAACCUUCAUCCGCUUGGAAUAUCGCUUGGGAUAGCAAGGAACUCACAGUACCUGCUGUGCUGAAUUGUCCCUGCUCAAUGGCAUGAUAGUGAUCUCUCUUGGAUCCCCUACCUUCAUUAAAGUUGGACAAAACUGUUGCUACUGACUGAGGGUGUCCUUCAAACAUGAAUUCCUUGGUCCCAUCAAUAUUUUCCCAGUUUCUUCUUUGUGAAACAAAUUGGAUAGCUUGCUGUGCGGAAGUGUACCCAUUUCUGUAGCUAUUUUGGUUCAAAUCAAUGUCAUACAUGUUUGCAUUCCUUGCCAUGACAUUUACAUUUUCCAUCAGCUCCUUUGCUUGAAGUCGGGAGGCUGUAGCUGCUGUGAUACCUGGCAGGGACAUGUAAUCAAUUGGCAUCAUUUUCUUCAUGAAGGGGGAGUGACUACAUUCAGCUUGUAGUUGUGGGUUUUCCACAGCCAAUCCACUCUGUUGAUUAGACUGUGUAGUGAAUCUUGUUUUAAACCCACUAUUCCCUACACUGGAAAAUCCCAUGGAGCGAGAUUCAGAGGACUUACUACUGAGCAUCUCUUGGUGAUUAAGUAUACCAGCCAGACUUCCAUUUCCAGUGUUUUCCAAGUCAAAAUUCAAUGCUCUUCUGCAGGAUCUUGGAGCACACACGGGACUAGGAUCAGAGUCCCUUAUGCAAUCUCCUUGCGGACUUGCUGAUUCUUUCUGGUUGGUCUCGUGCAUGCAUUUCCCCCUAAUAGUUAUCCCAGCAUCACAAGCAGAUUUGUUUGCAGAAUCUAUCAGUUCAUCAGCUGGUUCUUUUGGCCUUUUCUUGCGUACAUACUUCCUCUUCGCUGGAGUUCCAGCAGUUGAGUCAGACGCCUUUGUUGGAUCUGCAUGUUGAGUUGCUAGUUCUGUCAGACCUUUCCUGCGUACAUACUUCCUCUUCCCACUUGGGUUGUCCUUGGAGUUGACGUUUGCUGUAGUGGUCGGCUUUGGAGUUCUUUUGGGUUUGCCUUCCACAAUAACCUUGGGCCUGUGUUUUCUUCGUUUAGGUGGUUUUUGCUGGGGAGUCUUAUUCAGAUCUAUACCUUGGACACUUCCCCUUUCAGAGUCCUUUUCCUCCAUUGGUGCUGAAAUGAUCACAGAUGAUGAAUCGACAAUAUUCUGAUUCUGCUUCCUUGUCUUCUCUGUUUGAUCUGGUGUUGCUAGCAAGGAUUGAAAUGAGGUGUUGAAAUGAGAGGGUGCACCGACUUCUGUCCUCGCUGGUUUAACCACUUACAUUGCGGCAUCUGGAGGAAGCCGUCGGUAUUUCUCAUGAAGUGCGAACUUGAGGAUUGGUGUGAGCUGGAACGUCUCCAGUUUUCUUCUUGAGGAUGCAAAUUCGGAAUUGGCAGUGUAUUACCGCUGCCUAAGCUGGCGAUUCUGUUUGCAGAGGCAAAACCAUCUGCGGCAUUUCUGGUUGCCAGAAGAUUUGCCCAGGUUAUUCACUCGAUACUUUGAGUUAUCCAUGGUUAUUGUGGAUUGGGGGUACAAAUUUACAUUUCCGAUACUUAUUCAAGCAGCGGAAAAAAAUUAUCGGUGAUCAUACAGUUGUGUUUACCAUUGAGGCUUAAACCUUGAUUUCAAACAAAAAAAAGUGGUAAACAAGCAGUUUUUCAAACCAAACUUUGAUUUUAAACUAGGGUUUUAACCCAAGCCAAAAGUUAAAAAUUUUGGCUUUUGAAACUUUUGGAGAAGCAUUUUUCAAUGAAGUUAUUUUUUUAUCUCUCUAUUAAAUUUUACUUUACGACAUCAUGUCUAAAGUUGAUAUUUUAUUUUCUCAAAAGUACUUUUUGACAGCAAUGGUUAAAACUAUCAAAUUUUUCAAAAAUAUUUUUGAACCUCAGUGAUAAACUAAUUUCACAAAGAGAAUGGGUGUGCGGUUCCAAUGUCUUUGAAAGAAAGCAUCAAGAGGUAACAGUUGGAAUGUGGUGGAGGAAUUGAGAGCUGAAAAUUCAAGUUACUUGACUGGGGACAAAGAACCAAGGAUUAAAAAUAUAGCUGAAAAACAGUUAAACAAGAUGGUUUCUUUGGAUUAAAGUGCGUUUACUUUCAGUAAAGUUAAAAAUAACAGUGAAAGUAAAAUUAAUUAUUAUAACUAUAAAAUAAAAGAUUUUAUCGCAUCAUGGUCAUAGUCUACUGUUGUAGAAUCUGUCUUGGAACUUAUUUGACUUUGUCUUUUGAACUUGUGUAUGGUUGUGGUUUUGAUACAAAAAGCAAAAUAGUUUUUUUUUUUUCCU